rnacentral:rRNA from 1 species
UACGAAGGGGGCUAGCGUUGUUCGGAUUUACUGGGCGUAAAGCGCACGUAGGCGGAUCGUUAAGUUAGGGGUGAAAUCCCAGGGCUCAACCCUGGGAGGCGGGUGGAUACUACGGAACUGGAGUACGGAAGAGGAGAUUGGAAUUCCUGGUGUAGCGGUGAAAUGCGCAGAUAUCAGGAGGAACACCAACAGCGAAGGCAGAUCUCUGGGACGUUACUGACGCUGAGACGCGAAAGCGUGGGGAGCAAACAGG